rnacentral:rRNA from 1 species
UACGUAGGGGGCUAGCGUUGCCCGGAAUCAUUGGGCGUAAAGAGCGCGUAGGCGGCCAGAUAAGUCCGGUGUGAAAGUCACAGGCUCAACCUGUGAAUGCCGCUGGAAACUGUCUGGCUAGAGUCCGGGAGGGGCGAGUGGAAUUCCUGGUGUAGCGGUGAAAUGCGCAGAUAUCAGGAAGAACACCUAUGGCGAAGGCAGCUCUCUGGGACGGUACUGACGCUGAGACGCGAAAGCGUGGGGAGCGAACAGG